GAUAGGCAUAUGAUAUACUUGAAAAUGUAGAGGCUUCCCUUAAGCUUUUUGAAUCUAAAGUUUUCAGCUUGCCCAUUUUGGCAAUAAAACACGAGGAACUACAAAAAGAAAUUAAAAAUGGAUCAGAUGAUGCUCUUCAGAAGGGGCAAGCCUUACUUAGCAAACAAGAUGCUCACAGUUCUUGGAUGAUUGGGAUUCAGGAAAGAAUGGACUACAUUGAGAAAAAAGUAGAUCAGCUGAUCAGACAGUUUCCUGAUCAUGGAGAAUUUACCUCAAACAAGGAACACCUAGCCACUUCCUUAGAACAUUACCUAAAGAAGGCAUCAACAAAGAUUCAAAACAUUGGUCCAGUACUCUCAGCUGCAGUAAAUCCUGGAUCAUCUGCUCCUGAAUCAGAAGAAAUCCUGAAAAAAUAUUUAGAGCUGGCGAAUC
rnacentral:lncRNA from 1 species